AAGGCACAUCUGUCAUGUCUUACUGCCUUCGGCUUCUUUACAGUGCUGCCUUGUUGCAUAUGGAUCAAGCAGCAUUGUACAGGGCUAUGAAGGCAUUGAGUCUUCUCUACCAAACACAAG
rnacentral:pre_miRNA from 12 species